GCACGCUGCGUUCCUCAGUCCCCCAGGAUGUAUCCAACGGAAAGCUAUAACACAGCCGAGACUGCUACCUUCAAACCGUCAUUAUCCACCCCGGAAAACUGAUGCUGGCCUGCAAACCGAAGCAAGCUCCGGCAAGCAAGUCUGACUUCAAGCGUUUCCCUUCCAACAAUUUCACGUACUGUUAACUCUCUUUCCAAAGUGCUUUUCAUCUUUCCCUCACGGUACUUGUUCGCUAUCGGUCUCUCGCCAAUAUUUAGCUUUAGAUGGAAUUUACCACCCAAUUUGAGCUGCAUUCCCAAACAACUCGACUCAUUGAAAGUGUAUCACAAAGCGCUGGGCGUCCGCACCAUAUACGGGGGUUUCACCACUAUGCCGCUGUAUUCCAACAGACUUGUGUGCGGUCCAACGCGGAAAACACUUCUAGAGAUUACAACUCGGACACCGAAGGUGCCAGAUUAUAAAUUUGAGCUCUUCCCGCUUCGCUCGCCGCUACUAG
rnacentral:rRNA from 1 species